UACGUAGGCAGCAAGCGUUGUUCGGAAUUACUGGGCGUAAAGGGCUCGUAGGCGGCCAACUAAGUCAGACGUGAAAUCCCUCGGCUUAACCGGGGAACUGCGUCUGAUACUGGUUGGCUUGAGUGUGGGAGAGGGAUGCGGAAUUCCAGGUGUAGCGGUGAAAUGCGUAGAUAUCUGGAGGAACACCGGUGGCGAAGGCGGCAUCCUGGACCAUUACUGACGCUGAGGAGCGAAAGCCAGGGGAGCAAAGCGGG
rnacentral:rRNA from 1 species